rnacentral:tRNA from 1 species
UCCGGAAUGGUGUAGUGGUUAGCAUUUCUGCCUUUCAAUCUCCUGUCUGUCCAACAAACAAACAGUGAAAGCUCGCAGGAGACCGGGGUUCAAUUCCCCGUUCCGGAA